rnacentral:rRNA from 1 species
CAGCCGCCGCGGUAUUCGGAGGGUGCAAAGCGUUAUCCGGAAUCAUUGGGUUUAAAGGGUCCGCAGGCGGAUUUAUAAGUCAGUGGUGAAAGCCUACAGCUCAACUGUAGAACUGCCAUUGAUACUGUAAGUCUUGAAUUCGGUCGAAGUGGGCGGAAUAUGACAUGUAGCGGUGAAAUGCUUAGAUAUGUCAUAGAACACCGAUAGCGAAGGCAGCUCACUAGGCCUGGAUUGACGCUCAGGGACGAAAGCGUGGGGAGCAAACAGGAUUAGAUACCCUGGUAGUCCACGCCGUAAACUAUCAAUACUCGUUUUCAGCGAUACACAGUUGGAGACUAAGCGAAAGUGAUAAGUAUUGCACCUGGGGAGUACGAUCGCAGGGUUGAAACUUAAAGGAAUUGACGG